GAUGAACGCUGGCGGCGUGCCUAACACAUGCAAGUCGAGCGGAAAUACCAAAUGUACUCGUACAGGCGGUAUUUUAGCGGCGGACGGGUGAGUAACACGUGAGCAACCUGCCUUUUGCUGGGGAAUAACAUUGGGAAACCAGUGCUAAUACCGCAUGACGUCAACGGGGGACAUCCCCUGAUGACCAAAGGAGAAAUCCGGCAGAAGAUGGGCUCGCGUCCGAUUAGUUAGUUGGCGGGGUAACGGCCCACCAAGACCGCGAUCGGUAGCCGAACUGAGAGGUUGAUCGGCCACAUUGGGACUGAGACACGGCCCAGACUCCUACGGGAGGCAGCAGUGGGGAAUAUUGGGCAAUGGGGGAAACCCUGACCCAGCAACGCCGCGUGAAGGACGAAGGCCUUCGGGUUGUAAACUUCUUUGAUCAGGGACGAAAGCAAUGACGGUACCUGAAGAACAAGCCACGGCUAACUACGUCG
rnacentral:rRNA from 1 species